CUCUCAGGAUUACUCGGUGUUCGCUUUGGUGAAAUGCUUGCAUCAAUGGGCGAACCAUACUGGCUGAGGAUUAAUUAACUCCCAGCUUGACAUAGAUAUAAAAGUGUGACUUUGGAAGCUAUGUGUAGAGUUUAGCAAAGCCACAAGAUGGAAGAAGCUUGGGUUACUACUGCUUGCAGAAGAGCUGCCUAUCAGUCAAGACUCUAUGAAGUCUCCCAUAACGGAGACAACUUUGUGUCCACUGAAGGUUUGAACUCCCUCUUGCAGAGUAUAGAAUCAUUGACUGGAAGCAUCUGCUAACCGGGAGUACAUUUCCCACGCUUCCUUACAUACAGUUGAGGCCGCAGGACUGAUUCUUGUCAAUGGAAUGGAGAAUGAUGUACAUCACAUGGUCAAGAGGCUCAUCAGUGUGUGUGCCUUCAUUGCCUUUCUCUGUUCUCUGGCUGAAUGCAAAGACUCCAAGGCCCAAGAGGACGAUGGAGCCACAAUAUGGAAGAAGCCUGGGUUAUGAAGAAUCAUGUGGAAUGUUGACUGUCCACUGGGAAAAAUGCCUGAGGAAUAUACUUCUGUUGGCCACGCCAUUAAAAACAAAACCUUGGGACAUUUUUGUUAGAGCAGUUAGCAUUGUCCUAGCUGAUACAGCCCCGUUGUACGUAGUGUAAGUAGGAGGGCGAUAGCCACCCUGGCCUCU